rnacentral:rRNA from 1 species
GAAUUUUGGACAAUGGGCGCAAGCCUGAUCCAGCAAUGCCGCGUGCAGGAUGAAGGCCUUCGGGUUGUAAACUGCUUUUGUACGGAACGAAACGGCUCUCUCUAAUACAGGGGGCUAAUGACGGUACCGUAAGAAUAAGCACCGGCUAACUACGUGCCAGCAGCCGCGGUAAUACGUAGGGUGCGAGCGUUAAUCGGAAUUACUGGGCGUAAAACGUGCGCAGGCGGUUUUGUAAGACAGAUGUGAAAUCCCCGGGCUCAACCUGGGACCUGCAUUUGUGACUGCAAGGCUGGAGUGCGGCAGAGGGGGAUGGAAUUCCGCGUGUAGCAGUGAAAUGCGUAGAUAUGCGGAGGAACACCGAUGGCGAAGGCAAUCCCCUGGGCCUGCACUGACGCUCAUGCACGAAAGCGUGGGGAGCAAACAGG